GGGUGCUCUGGCUGCGACAUCUGUCUGUCAUUCAUUGGUCCCAGGGUUCGUCGGAUGGACCUAGCUGGUUAAGCUGCUUCUUCAGGCACAGCUUUCCCAAGGCUGCUCAAGGAAAGAAUCACAGGCAUUCGUUUUUCAAACAAGUUUUUAUAAGCUACAGACCUCCUUUGUGAGAACUUAUAAGGAACUGUUCAAGAAAUAGUUUGCAACUCUAAGUUAAGCAAGGUUAAUAUGAAAUAAUGACAACAAAUAAUUGUUCUCACAAAAGUU
rnacentral:sRNA from 1 species